CAAUAGCGUAUAUUAAAGUUGUUGCGGUUAAAAAGCUCGUAGUUGGUUUCUGUCGGUGAGUGGCAGUCCGGCCUUUGUGUUUGGUACUUGUCACGCCAUCGGCAUCUUCCUGGGGACUGUGUCUGCUCUUCGCUGAGUGGCGCAUAAUCCAGGACUUUUACUUUGAAGAAAUAGGAGUGUUUCAAGCAGGCAUGCGCCGUGUACACGUUAGCAUGGAAUAAUAGCAUCGGACCUCGUUCCAAAGCUGUUGGUUUCUUGGACCGAGGUAAAAGGUGAAUAGGGAUUGUUGGGGCAGUUCUGUAUUUAACUUGUCAGAGGUGAAAGUUCAUUGGAUUUGUUGAAGACGGACUACUGCGAAAGCAUUUGCCAAGGAUGUUUUCAUUGAUCAAGAACGAAAGUUAGGGGAUCGAAGACGAUCAGAUACCA
rnacentral:rRNA from 1 species